rnacentral:tRNA from 1 species
GGGGGUGUAGCUUGGUGGUAGAGCCCAUGUUUAGCAUGUAUGAGGACUUGGGUUCCAUUCCCAGGACUGCCA